CCUACGGGAGGCAGCAGUCGAGAAUCAUUCACAAUGGGGGAAACCCUGAUGGUGCGACGCCGCGUGGGGGAAUGAAGGUCUUCGGAUUGUAAACCCCUGUCAUGUGGGAGCAAAUUAAAAAGAUAGUACCCCAAGAGGAAGAGACGGCUAACUCUGUGCCAGCAGCCGCGGUAAUACAGAGGUCUCAAGCGUUGUUCGGAAUCACUGGGCGUAAAGCGUGCGUAGGCUGUUUCGUAAGUCGUGUGUGAAAGGCGCGGGCUCAACCCGCGGACGGCACAUGAUACUGCGAGACUAGAGUAAUGGAGGGGGAACCGGAAUUCGCGGUGUAGCAGUGAAAUGCGUAGAUAUCGAGAGGAACACUCGUGGCGAAGGCGGGUUCCUGGACAUUAACUGACGCUGAGGCACGAAGGCCAGGGGAGCGAAAGGGAUUAGAUACCCCUGUAGUC
rnacentral:rRNA from 1 species